UACGUAGGGGGCAAGCGUUGUCCGGAUUUAUUGGGCGUAAAGAGCGUGUAGGCGGCCUGACAGGUCUGCUGUGAAAACUCGAGGCUCAACCUCGAGAUGUCGGCGGAAACCGUCUGGCUAGAGUCCGGAAGAGGAGAGUGGAAUUCCUGGUGUAGCGGUGAAAUGCGCAGAUAUCAGGAGGAACACCAAUGGCGAAGGCAGCACUCUGGGACGUGACUGACGCUGAGACGCGAAAGCGUGGGGAGCAAACAGG
rnacentral:rRNA from 1 species